rnacentral:rRNA from 1 species
UACGUAGGUGGCAAGCGUUGUCCGGAUUUACUGGGCGUAAAGAGCGCGCAGGCGGUCGUACAAGUCGCGUGUGAAAGCCCCCGGCUCAACUGGGGAGGGUCACGCGAUACUGUUCGACUCGAAGGCAGGAGAGGGAAGCGGAAUUCCCGGUGUAGCGGUGAAAUGCGCAGAUAUCCGGAGGAACACCGGUGGCGAAGGCGGCUUCCUGGACCGACACUGACGCUGAGGCGCGAAAGCUAGGGGAGCAAACGGG